UAGGGAAUCUUCCGCAAUGGACGAAAGUCUGACGGAGCAACGCCGCGUGAGUGAAGAAGGCUUUCGGUUCGUAAAACUCUGUUGUUAGGGAAGAAAAAAUGUAUAGUAACUAUAUACAAAAGAGACGGUACCUAACCAGAAAGCCACGGCUAACUACGUGCCAGCAGCCGCGGUAAUACGUAGGUGGCAAGCGUUGUCCGGAAUUAUUGGGCGUAAAUCGCGCGCAGGUGGUUUAGAAAGUCUGAUGUGAAAGCCCACGGCUCAACCGUGGAGGGUCAUUGGAAACUAAUAAAGUUGAGUGCAGGAGAGAAAAGUGGAAUUCCUAGUGUAGCGGUGAAAUGCGUAGAGAUUAGGAGGAACACCGGUGGCGAAAGCGGCUUUUUGGCCUGCAAAUGACACUGAGGCGCGAAAGCGAGGGGAGCAAACAGG
rnacentral:rRNA from 1 species